rnacentral:lncRNA from 1 species
UAGAAGUGAAGAUCAAUUGGCGGAUAUCUUCACCAAGGCCACAUGACCUAAGGUUUGCAAUCAUAUUUAUAGCAAACUUGGACUUGUGGACCUUUCACGCCCUUGAUCAACUUCUCUAAUCUGUGGACAUCACACUCUUUUUCCCUUAGUAUAGUUUUGUCCCAUGAGGUUUUCUAUACUAAGGUUUUUAAUGAGGUGAUGCUUCACGGGUUCCAAGCUUAGCCAUUUCAUUAAGCUAAGCUUGAGGGGGAGUAUUGAUCAAGAUCUUAUUGAGUAUAUCAAGAUAGAAUAGACCAUUAU